UUAUGGGUAACAAAUUUCAUAUGACACCGCUAGAAAAACUGCCGUUCAAACCGAAAAGAUCCCAAAGUUGUUUUCUUUUACUAUGAGCUCUGUGUGUUUGUACCUAACCAUUUUUCGGGUGAUCUUAUACGGGGAUGUGUCCUGACUACACCUUCUUCGAAUCACUUGGUGGAAAUGUGAAGGUGAAGUUGUUCACAGAAUUAGACAAAGAAAAAACACUGAACUGAAUCCAACCAGUUAGUAGAGCCAUCUAUUGGAGAAUUAAAAAAAAUACAAUCAUAUAAAGGGAAAUAACUGCUGCAACACUUGAAACAAGCGCCAUUUCAAUUAUCCAUUAAGGUUCUUAAUUACUGACCACUGACUCGUUGUUUAUAUCUGAAUACGAAUAUCACAUCAUGUUGACGUUAAAGAAAUUCCUUCAUUCAGACACGUCUCUGAUAUUUUUAUUGACUUUCAUCAAUUAAAGGAAGACCAUACAUUCAUCAACGCAUCAACUUUUUUGUAUAAAUAAAAUCUUCAACAAAUGAUGGGAAAAUAUUUCUUCUGGACAAUGUAAUUAACAGCAACAUUUACUGGUUUUCGUUAUUUGGAAUGUAGAGGAGAUGAUUCCUUUAAAGUUUGAGGUUGAAUAACUUUAUGAAAGAGUUAACAGUUUACAUUUUCUGUUUUAGAUUUUAAGUAAAAUCACUGAUGAAAGAAAUGUAGCAUUAAUUUUUUCUCUGACAAUUAUGUCACAACUGAACACAAACAUGUUCACAGAAAUGAAA